rnacentral:lncRNA from 1 species
UUUUUUUUUUUUUUUAAACAAUAAUAAUAAUAAUAAAAAGGACAUAGAAAACACCAGUCUUGAACUUCACUUCAGGAACCCCGGCUGCAAAGGAAAUCUCCUUUGUUUUGUUAUUUAUAUGCUGUCAAGUUUUGAAGUGUUCUGGCAGGUGAUCUGUAAGACAGUGACUGAGUAUGGAUCAUUUGAACGAGACAACUCAGGGGAAAGAGCAUUCCGAAAUGUCUAACAAUGUGAGUGAUCCGAAGGGUCCGCCGGCCAAGAUUGCCCGCCUGGAGCAGAACGGGAGCCCACUAGGAAGAGGAAGGCUUGGGAGCACAGGUGGAAAGAUGCAGGGAGUGCCUUUAAAACACUCGGGCCACCUCAUGAAAACCAACCUAACAAUGGUCCCACACCACAGUAAGGAAUGCUCUGAAGGACUUACUGAAAGACAUGAACCAGAGUUCGUUGGCCAAGGAGUGCCCCCUCUCACAGAGCAUGAUCUCCUCCAUCGUGAACAGCACGUACUAUGCAAAUGUCUCAGCAGCAAAAUGUCAAGAGUUUGGAAGGUGGUACAAACAUUUCAAGAAGACAAAGGAUAUGAUGGCUUCGGGCCAUAAUGAAGACAAUAUAUCAAUUUCUGGAAUAAUUGCCUGAAUUACCGUUCCAUGUAUAUGGCCCACGUGGGCUGAUAUCACUGGUGGAAACUGAAGGCUUCUCCCCUUCUCAGCUAUAUGUUGCUUAUAUCAUUGAGUAUAGCAAUAUGACCCGUUCCUCU